CGCCUCUGUAGAAAUGGCAGUAAGCCGUCAAGACAACAGGAUGACUGGCAGCUGACACCGUCUUGUCUGUCAUCAGCCACCCCAGCACAGGGCUGGGUGUCCCAGUGGCAGAGAGGAAGGCUAUGCAUGAGUUAGUCGGUAAUUGGUAGAGGCUUCAAUUAUGUAGGCCUUAUCUGCACAUACCGUUGCUUCCAAAUGUCUAACCUGCCAGCCACAGGGGCUGACAACGCUGAGUUUCCACAUCCGUCUUCAAGGAGGAAGUUGAAUACGUGUGCGGAAUAGAGACUCCUCUUGACUGGGGUCACCAGCUUGUCUUGGUAAAGGUUUAUAUUUCCUGCCUGCAGGGACAGCAUCCUUAACACCACUCUCCAUCAACAUGGGCCAAGUGACUCACUCUAUCACAAAGGAAGUACAGCCGCAGACACAUGGCCACAGGAUCCAUGGUUUCUCUGUGGCAUUACCUGGAAACGGUUAACCUGAUCGAGAGGCGGGGAAAGCUUUCUGGAAAUGUGGCAGAGAUGACAGGCUAGGGAGUGUCUUGGUUAGCGUCAAACACCAGCUUAACACACAUUCUGCGGGAAGGGUCACUAAGAAUGUCUAUGAAGGAUUACCUUACGUUAGUUGAUAAGAGAGGACUCCUCUUCCCCUAGCCAGGGAUGAUACCAUUCCAUUUGUAGACUGUAUAAGAAGGAGGCAGGGAGCAGCAGCUCGGACCCAUUCAGUCAUCUGUCUCUGCUCGUGCCUCUGAGUGUGGGGUGACCCAUGACUUCUAGUUUCUGCCAUGUGGACUUCCUCUCCAUGAUGGACUAUGAGCUGGAACUAUGAGCCAGCACAAAACCUUCCUCUCUUAAAGUGCUUCGAUGGGAGUAUUUUUCAUUACAGCAAAUGGAAGAGAAAGAAAGGCAGGAAUGUUACCCAUGAGGGCCCAGCUGCCCCUAACGAUGGCCAACAACAAGAACCAGAGCCUGAGAAGGGAGCUGUUGAGCUCUGAACAUGAAAUGACCCUGUAGGCUCAUGUGUUUGAAUACGUGGUCCCAGCUAGUGGCAAUGUUUUGGAAAAGGUGUUUGAUCAUAGCAGAAGAAAAGUAACAUGGAAGGGAUAACCAAGAGUCAGAAAUGAUGAUCUGGACCACACUUGUCCUAGAACAGACAUAGUAUCGGACCGUCUCCUGCUCCCUUUGAAGUUGGCUGUCCCUGCAUCCUUGGAUGGGUAAGUGAAUGUCUGCUCAGGUAGAUGGCACCCCAUGUUCAUACAUUUCUAAGAUCAACUUUGAUUAGAAGAUAAGGCUGGCAUUUAUUUUGAAGUGGCUUCUUGGGCCAUUAAUAUGAAUCAGACCCAAUUCAGUGUAAUUAGCAACCAUGCACACAUAUUAGUAUAAUAUAUAUUAGCCCGUUGGUUAAAUUACCUCCAGUAUCAUAAACUAAUUUGCCAUAGACUGGAUUACGGCGAGAGCACUGGAGGUGAUGGAGAGUUUGCAAAUGCAGAGAUGGCACGUAUUUUGCUGGCAACUGGUAAUUUACCACUCACUCAGAUGCCAUAAAUACUAGUUUUGGCAAGGGGAGAAUCCUGGAAUUUAUCUCUGGUCUACACUGUGGUUCGACUGUUAGACCGGGAAGCCUUUUUACAUCCUUGAGUUACAGAUGAGUUCCUCACUUUUAUUAGUGUGCCAGCCUGUAGCUUUCCUCCACGCUGGCAGAUCACAGUGGAAGCUCUGAAUGUCUGCACGGGGACUAGGAGGAGGGUUAGGUUCCAGGACCUCUUAGCUCUGUGACCUUGAACCUUCCCUUUGCCAGUCAGCUCUGUGACCUUGAACCCACCCUUGGCCUCCCUGGGCCUCUGUUUUACCUUCUGUUGUUUGAGUGAUUCUAUUUGGAAUUCAUAUUGUUUUUAUUUCUUUAAUCUGAAUUACAUUCAGAUGGUUCCAUUGAGUGUCUAUCUCCAGCGAACGCCUAUAAUGAGAGUCCUUUCUUAGGGACACUUUGGAUUUGAGGACCAGCAGAAACACUAUCUGAUUUUGUGUGAGUAUGGGCAGGGAGGGGCAGUUGGCCUGGACUGUGGAUGCUGCUGACCUCUGGAGUCCAAAGAGGAAGACUCAAAAAAAUAAAUGAGUAUUUUUAUUUGCGAACGAGCGUUUUUAUUUGCCAACGUCCGCUUGUUUUGUGUCAGGACCAGUUAAACCAGUCAGGAUUUUUACUGGAAUGCUAUUUCUAGUGUACAACAGCUUCUCUCCCAGUGACUGAAGUGAGCCACAGAGCCACCCAUCUUUUCAUAUGCUGACUCUUUGCUAAAUACUUCUUCCUAAUGCAGAGUUCUCUUCUUCGUGAAGGCAAUGAAGGUUAAGAGGGCAGGCCCAGGCCCUUUGUGAGGUUUGUUGUAUAUCCACGAAGCCGGUCCAUCUCACUAAAUACUGUGUCAAACACCAGGCUAAUGUGAAUGAGUUCUGUAGAGGAGAUAGACAAUUCAAUCAGUUCUCCGUGAGAAAUUCAGUGGCUGGGCCUCAUCCAAUCAGUUGAUGAUCUGAAAGAUACUGAGUGCCCCAAAGGAAAAAGGGGUUCUUUGUCCCUCCUACAAAAUCUCUACUUUUUCUUGGCUCUACAGCUUGUGGGCCUGUACUGCAGGCACAUCCUGCUCUUCAUGAACAUCUGAGUCAAUUUCUUUCUCUUAUUUUGUUAUUUAAAAAACCUUGGAAAUAAAUAAAAAACCUCAGAUACAAAAAUUAGCCAGACCCAAAGACUAUACAACUUAAUGAACUCAUAUACAAUUAGAACUGGCAUUCAGAAUGGAAGCUGUGAGACUUCAUAUUAAAUUUUAUACUUUCCUUAUCGAAUACACAUUUCUCUGUCACACAACCCAAAAGCUUCAUGGCAGAGCAAAGACAAGAAAAAGUAUUUCCUUUUAUAACUCAUGUCCAUUACCUGCAUUCUGUCCUUCCUCAUUCCCUUAUAGUUACUAAUUUAUUAUUCUUUGCCUUCAUGGUCUACUGUGUCCACGUGGGUAUUUGUUUACAUAUGUAUUAUUGAUUAGAUUUCACAUGUGAGAGAAAACAUGAGGUUUAUUUCUUUCUGAGGCUGACCUUGCUUUAUAUCAUAUAUUCAAAGUCUCUCCAGUUUCCUGCAAAGUUUUCAACUUUAAUAUUCUUUUGAGCUUUGCAGUUCACACACACAGACCACACACACAC